rfam:Cricetulus griseus cell line CHO-K1, whole genome shotgun sequence.
CCAAAGGCUCUUUUCAGAGCCACUCCAGCUCUCAAAGAAAGGGCUGU